UCCGAUAUCGAUUGGUCCUUGAAAUCGGACAAUUCAGGUUCGUACGAAGUUCGUUCUGAAAUGGAGUGGUUGGUGUAUUGUAUAGUUCUAGAGAUUAGAUUUUACUCAAAACCCACCAAAUGACUACUCCCACAAUAUUAUGAUGUUCCCCAAGUUCUGUACUCAAUCCGAUAUCAAUUGGUUAAUGAAAUUGGACAAUUCAGAUUCGUACGAAGUUCGUUCCGAAACGGAGUGGUUGGUGUAUUGUAUAGUUCUAGGGAUUAGAUUUCACUCAAAACCCACCAAAUGACUACUCCCACAAUAUUAUGAUGUUCC
rnacentral:lncRNA from 1 species